GAUGACUCUCUAGUCACUGAAGUGGAGCCUUAUAUUCCUUUUAAUAUCAACCCAGCAGGAAUGCAACCUGUUCUUACCACUAAUUAUAUGUUGGUCGUCCCCAGCAUUCUUGCAAGGUUCUAUUAACUUUUGGCUGGAAGUCAUCUGUUUCUUUAGAUCUUUAGGUAUAGAUAUCCAAGAAUUUCAAUUAAAAUUGAUUUUUACCCCAUAUUAUUUAAUUUGCUAAAAUCUUUGUAACACUUGAUUAGAAACAACCAAUUAUAUUAAUAAAUGACCGUAUAUAUAAAUUACUUAUAGAACUAGUUCUCAGAGUAAGUCUGAAACAAAAAGAAAGAGUAGCCCAACAAUUGGAAAAACCAAUAUGAACAAAGUUCAUCCAUCUAGAAAUACUGCAGUUAGACCUAGUGUUGAAGAUAAACCAAAGUCACAAUUUUCACAGCUCUGAAGUAGGAAACUUAACUGUUUUAAGUUUUCUGAUGCUAUAAUUGUUGUUCUGAGUUUACUUUGAUGGAUUUUAUGUUUUGAUUUAAGGAUUUUCUUUGAACAAUUGGUUGUGGACAUUUAAUUUUGAAGUAAUCUUCAAACAUUGUAGUGAAUUUGCUAUUUUGACUUUAUUUGAAUUCACCACUUGGUUUAGAAUUUGAUUAACCUAUCUGCUUCCUUCAACCCCAUUUAAAAAAAAAAACCUUAUUGAAAGUCAGGGAAAAAAAAGAAAGAAAGUGAGAUAAUGAUUGAGACAAAAUCUGAAAAGAAAAUCUAAAUCAUUAAUAAUUUAUAAAAAGGAAUUAAUAAAACUUAAUCAUUACUCAAAGGAAUGUAGUGAGGAGCUAGGAGAUCUUAUGAAGGUUAGCAUUAUGGAAUUUGUUAAUUACACAGUCCUGUGUUUCUUUUCUCUUGGCAAUAAUUUAGUUGUUUACUUCAAAUAAUGUUGUGUCAUGUUGUUUAUGGUAUAUCUUAGUUUCUUUUUAAUUAUUUAAUUAGUUAGGUUUCUUCCUCCAGUAAUGGAUGUGAGAUUCUAACUAGUCUAGUAUUGGUUAUCUGAAAAUCUCAUCUUCUCAAGCUUCAGUUUUUUUUUUUUAAUUCAUUUUGGUAUCUUAGUAGUGAUUUAAUUUCUGCUAUGUUUUUUGGUAUCUGAAAAGAAAGUGCAUAUGAAAAUGUUGCAUACCAGGCGUUUGAUGAUAAUUCUCAAAGAAUCUAAAUUAUCAUUUGGAUUUGGGAUUUGAUAUUACAUUAGUAAGUACUGUUAUUAUAUUUUCAACUUUGGGUACGGGAAAAACUGAACCAUUUUCUUGUGUUUAUUAAAGGUUUUUUUGAACUCUCUCAAUAUUUAACUCUCUCAAAGUCCUGCUCGCAACAUGUAUUUUUUGGCUGGUUUGUGUUGGUGUUGUAGCUUGUUGCUGUAAUUAGCUAGAAAAGGAAAGCCAGACUUGUUCUGUUCUGCUUCUAAUUUUAUUGAUGUUGUUAUGUCUACCAUUUCUCUUGCUUCUGAUGGUACAUUUAGGUUUGCUUCAGAUGUUGUACUUCCUUUGAUAAUUCUAGAUAUGCAUGUGCUUUGGUUUUCUCUGUUUUUAUAGCUUCUUUCACUGCUGCAAUUUUCAACUUUUAUGUUGGAUGACUAAUUAUAAACAAUGUUUAGUAAACUCAAAAUUGUUUUUUUGAAGUAUGGGAUCCAGGAAUAGUUUAGGUUAGUCAUAGACUUGAUAACUUAAGAAAAUUUAGUGAUUUUUAAUGAGAACUUUGGUAUGUUGAUAUUUAGUAUAUAUUAGCUAUAGUAUAUAACGUUAGUGGGGAACGUAUCAACACAUGCAUCAGACCAAAUAAUCAAUACUCACAGGAACACAUUGAAAUUUAUGUCUUAAUUAAAUAAAUUUUUUUAUUUUCUUUUGGUUGGUUUUGUAGAAUUACCAAAUACUAAUUAUGUAUUUUAAGUUUGGGUUAUGAAAGUUAAAUGUUGAAGUUGCAUUGGAUGCUAAAUGAAUUGAGACAGUUGGCAGGGGCUAUAAUUUAAUUACGCUUGUGCUCUUGCUUUUAAUUUAAUUUCUUAUCCUUUGUGGGUUUAGCUUCUAUAAAUAUAUAUAUAUGUACAUCUUUGUGCCUAUUGAUUGUCUAUAGUCUGAUUACUUUGAAGAAAUAAGAAUUUCUAUUUAAUGACACAUUUGGUAUAUAUAUAUUGUUAUUAGCUUGUUGUUGUCUCGUCUGUUUGGGAGUAUUUCAUGGCAUAAAUUGCAUGUAUAGACACUGUGAGAUUGAUAGACUUAACUUGUUGUGAGUUUAGGCACCUAAGGGAUGGCUUGUACUAGUUGGCUAAAAGCUAAUUUAAUCACAGUUAUGCCCAGCUAGCUGUUAGUUACCAAUUCUCUCUUUUAUUUUGUUUAUGUUUUUCUAUAUGUUUGUGUGAAUAUAGUGGUUUGAUCCGAAAUAUUUUUUGUCUUAUUUUGUGUUUGAUUUUUAGUAUCUAGCUUCUGUUCUGCUUCUACUUCUGGGGGUCUCUACUAUUGGAGUACCAAGCUUGCUGGCCCAAAAUGGUUACCAUUUGCGUCAUGGAUAACUGGCUUGAGAAAAAUGUCUCUUUCUCCAUCAAUUGGAGGAGAAAAUGAUACUUAAUGUUGAAGGCUUUGUGUUGGGCAAUUGUAGAAUAUUUUGUGCUGAAAGUAGUAACUUUUCAUUAUGUUGAAUAUUUAAGACUACUUGAAUACUUAAAGAACAUUUUGUUGUUAAUGACAAUGUUGAAUGUUUUAAACUAA